rnacentral:rRNA from 1 species
AGAGUUUGAUCCUGGCUCAGAAUGAACGUUGGCGGCGUGGAUUAGGCAUGCAAGUCGAGCGUGUACCCCGCAAGGGGGAAAGCGGCGAAAGGGACAGUAACACGUAGAUUACCUACCCUCUGGUUCAGAAUAGCUGCGGGAAACUGCAGGUAAUGCUGAAUGAUGUCUCCGGACCAAAGGUGUGAUUCCGCCGGAGGAUGGGUCUGCGUCCUAUUAGCUAGUUGGUGAGGUAACGGCUCACCAAGGCAAUGAUGGGUAGUGGGUGUGAGAGCACGACCCGCGUCACUGGGACUGAGAUACUGCCCAGACACCUACGGGUGGCUGCAGUCGAGGAUCUUCGGCAAUGGGCGCAAGCCUGACCGAGCGACGCCGCGUGCGGGAUGAAGGCCUUCGGGUUGUAAACCGCUGUCAGAGGGGAUGAAAUACAGGUGGGUUCUCCCAUCUGCUUGACAUAUCCUCAGAGGAAGUACGGGCUAAGUUCGUGCCAGCAGCCGCGGUAAGACGAACCGUACGAACGUUAUUCGGAAUCACUGGGCUUAAAGGGUGCGUAGGCUGCGCAGAAAGUUGGGUGUGAAAUCCCUCGGCUCAACCGAGGAACUGCGCCCAAAACUACUGUGCUCGAGGGAGACAGAGGUGAGCGGAACUUAGGGUGGAGCGGUGAAAUGCGUUGAUAUCCUAAGGAACACCGGUGGCGAAAGCGGCUCACUGGGUCUCUUCUGACGCUGAGGCACGAAAGCUAGGGUAGCGAACGGGAUUAGAUACCCCCGUAGUCC